rnacentral:rRNA from 1 species
CCUACGGGUGGCAGCAGUGGGGAAUAUUGCACAAUGGGGGAAACCCUGAUGCAGCGACGCCGCGUGAGUGAAGAAGUAAUUCGUUAUGUAAAGUUCUAUCAGCAGGGAAGAAAAUGACGGUACCUGAGUAAGAAGCCCCGGCUAACUACGUGCCAGCAGCCGCGGUAAUACGUAGGGGGCAAGCGUUAUCCGGAUUUACUGGGGGAAAAGGGAGCUUAGACGGCAGUGCAAGUCGGGGGGGAAAGGCGGGGGCUCAACCGCGGACUGCCUUGGAAACUGUACGGCUGGAGUGCAGGAGAGGUAAGUUGAAUUGUUGGUGUAGCGGUGAAAUGCGUAGAUAUUAGGAGGAACACCAGUGGCGAAGGCGGCUUACUGGACUGUAACUGACGUUGAGGCUCGAAAGCGUGGGGAGCAAACAGGAUUAGAUACCCGGGUAGUC